CACGGGGGGAGCAAGCGUUGUUCGGAAUCACUGGGCGUAAAGGGCGUGUAGGCGGUCAAGUAAGUGGAAUGUGAAAGCCCCCGGCUUACCCGGGGAUCUGCAUCCCAAACUGCUUGGCUUGAGUACGGGAGAGGAUGAGGGAAUUCCUGGUGUAGCGGUGAAAUGCGUAGAUAUCAGGAGGAACACCGGUGGCGAAGGCGCUCAUCUGGCCCGAUACUGACGCUGAGGCGCGAAAGCUAGGGGAGCAAACAGG
rnacentral:rRNA from 1 species